rnacentral:tRNA from 1 species
ACCCGGCUGGCUCAGUCGGUGGAGUGCGUGACUCUUGAUCUCGGGGCUGUGGAUUGAAGCCCCACAUUGGGUG